GGUUAAGCGACUAAGCGUACACGGUGGAUGCCCUGGCAGUCAGAGGCGAUGAAGGACGUGCUAAUCUGCGAUAAGCGUCGGUGAGGUGAUAUGAACCGUUAUAACCGGCGAUUUCCGAAUGGGGAAACCCAGUGUGUUUCGACACACUAUCAUUAACUGAAUCCAUAGGUUAAUGAGGCGAACCGGGGGAACUGAAACAUCUAAGUACCCCGAGGAAAAGAAAUCAACCGAGAUUCCCCCAGUAGCGGCGAGCGAACGGGGAGCAGCCCAGAGCCUGAAUCAGUGUGUGUGUUAGUGGAAGCGUCUGGAAAGGCGUGCGAUACAGGGUGACAGCCCCGUACACAAAAAUGCACAUACUGUGAGCUCGAUGAGUAGGGCGGGACACGUGGUAUCCUGUCUGAAUAUGGGGGGACCAUCCUCCAAGGCUAAAUACUCCUGACUGACCGAUAGUGAACCAGUACCGUGAGGGAAAGGCGAAAAGAACCCCGGCGAGGGGAGUGAAAAAGAACCUGAAACCGUGUACGUACAAGCAGUGGGAGCCUCUUAAUGGGGUGACUGCGUACCUUUUGUAUAAUGGGUCAGCGACUUAUAUUCUGUAGCAAGGUUAACCGAAUAGGGGAGCCGAAGGGAAACCGAGUCUUAACUGGGCGUUAAGUUGCAGGGUAUAGACCCGAAACCCGGUGAUCUAGCCAUGGGCAGGUUGAAGGUUGGGUAACACUAACUGGAGGACCGAACCGACUAAUGUUGAAAAAUUAGCGGAUGACUUGUGGCUGGGGGUGAAAGGCCAAUCAAACCGGGAGAUAGCUGGUUCUCCCCGAAAGCUAUUUAGGUAGCGCCUCGUGAAUUCAUCUCCGGGGGUAGAGCACUGUUUCGGCAAGGGGGUCAUCCCGACUUACCAACCCGAUGCAAACUGCGAAUACCGGAGAAUGUUAUCACGGGAGACACACGGCGGGUGCUAACGUCCGUCGUGAAGAGGGAAACAACCCAGACCGCCAGCUAAGGUCCCAAAGUCAUGGUUAAGUGGGAAACGAUGUGGGAAGGCCCAGACAGCCAGGAUGUUGGCUUAGAAGCAGCCAUCAUUUAAAGAAAGCGUAAUAGCUCACUGGUCGAGUCGGCCUGCGCGGAAGAUGUAACGGGGCUAAACCAUGCACCGAAGCUGCGGCAGCGACACUAUGUGUUGUUGGGUAGGGGAGCGUUCUGUAAGCCUGCGAAGGUGUACUGUGAGGUAUGCUGGAGGUAUCAGAAGUGCGAAUGCUGACAUAAGUAACGAUAAAGCGGGUGAAAAGCCCGCUCGCCGGAAGACCAAGGGUUCCUGUCCAACGUUAAUCGGGGCAGGGUGAGUCGACCCCUAAGGCGAGGCCGAAAGGCGUAGUCGAUGGGAAACAGGUUAAUAUUCCUGUACUUGGUGUUACUGCGAAGGGGGGACGGAGAAGGCUAUGUUGGCCGGGCGACGGUUGUCCCGGUUUAAGCGUGUAGGCUGAUUUUCCAGGCAAAUCCGGAAAAUCAAGGCUGAGGCGUGAUGACGAGGCACUACGGUGCUGAAGCAACAAAUGCCCUGCUUCCAGGAAAAGCCUCUAAGCAUCAGGUAACAUCAAAUCGUACCCCAAACCGACACAGGUGGUCAGGUAGAGAAUACCAAGGCGCUUGAGAGAACUCGGGUGAAGGAACUAGGCAAAAUGGUGCCGUAACUUCGGGAGAAGGCACGCUGAUAUGUAGGUGAAGUCCCUUGCGGAUGGAGCUGAAAUCAGUCGAAGAUACCAGCUGGCUGCAACUGUUUAUUAAAAACACAGCACUGUGCAAACACGAAAGUGGACGUAUACGGUGUGACGCCUGCCCGGUGCCGGAAGGUUAAUUGAUGGGGUUAGCGGUAACGCGAAGCUCUUGAUCGAAGCCCCGGUAAACGGCGGCCGUAACUAUAACGGUCCUAAGGUAGCGAAAUUCCUUGUCGGGUAAGUUCCGACCUGCACGAAUGGCGUAAUGAUGGCCAGGCUGUCUCCACCCGAGACUCAGUGAAAUUGAACUCGCUGUGAAGAUGCAGUGUACCCGCGGCAAGACGGAAAGACCCCGUGAACCUUUACUAUAGCUUGACACUGAACAUUGAGCCUUGAUGUGUAGGAUAGGUGGGAGGCUUUGAAGUGUGGACGCCAGUCUGCAUGGAGCCGGCCUUGAAAUACCACCCUUUAAUGUUUGAUGUUCUAACGUUGGCCCCUGAUCGGGGUUGCGGACAGUGUCUGGUGGGUAGUUUGACUGGGGCGGUCUCCUCCUAAAGAGUAACGGAGGAGCACGAAGGUUGGCUAAUCCUGGUCGGACAUCAGGAGGUUAGUGCAAUGGCAUAAGCCAGCUUGACUGCGAGCGUGACGGCGCGAGCAGGUGCGAAAGCAGGUCAUAGUGAUCCGGUGGUUCUGAAUGGAAGGGCCAUCGCUCAACGGAUAAAAGGUACUCCGGGGAUAACAGGCUGAUACCGCCCAAGAGUUCAUAUCGACGGCGGUGUUUGGCACCUCGAUGUCGGCUCAUCACAUCCUGGGGCUGAAGUAGGUCCCAAGGGUAUGGCUGUUCGCCAUUUAAAGUGGUACGCGAGCUGGGUUUAGAACGUCGUGAGACAGUUCGGUCCCUAUCUGCCGUGGGCGCUGGAGAACUGAGGGGGGCUGCUCCUAGUACGAGAGGACCGGAGUGGACGCAUCACUGGUGUUCGGGUUGUCAUGCCAAUGGCACUGCCCGGUAGCUAAAUGCGGAAGAGAUAAGUGCUGAAAGCAUCUAAGCACGAAACUUGCCCCGAGAUGAGUUCUCCCUGACUCCUUGAGAGUCCUGAAGGAACGUUGAAGACGACGACGUUGAUAGGCCGGGUGUGUAAGCGCAGCGAUGCGUUGAGCUAACCGGUACUAAUGAACCGUGAGGCUUAACCUU
rnacentral:rRNA from 1 species